UGAGAUGGACCCGCGUCUGAUUAGCUAGUUGGCGAGGUAACGGCCCACCAAGGCGACGAUCAGUAGCCGGCUGAGAGGGUGAACGGCCACAUUGGGACUGAGACACGGCCCAAACUCCUACGGGAGGCAGCAGUGGGGAAUAUUGCACAAUGGGGGAAACCCUGAUGCAGCGACGCCGCGUGAGUGAGGAAGGUCUUCGGAUCGUAAAGCUCUGUUGUAAGAGAAAAACGACAUUCAUAGGGAAUGAUGAGUGAGUGAUGGUAUCUUACCAGAAAGUCACGGCUAACUACGUGCCAGCAGCCGCGGUAAUACGUAGGUGGCGAGCGUUAUCCGGAAUGAUUGGGCGUAAAGGGUGCGUAGGUGGCAGAACAAGUCUGGAGUAAAAGGUAUGGGCUCAACCCGUACUGGCUCUGGAAACUGUUCAGCUAGAGAACAGAAGAGGACGGCGGAACUCCAUGUGUAGCGGUAAAAUGCGUAGAUAUAUGGAAGAACACCGGUGGCGAAGGCGGCCGUCUGGUCUGUUGCUGACACUGAAGCACGAAAGCGUGGGGAGCAAAUAGGAUUAGAUACCCUAGUAGUCCACGCCGUAAACGAUGAGAACUAGGUGUUGGGGGAAUAACUCAGUGCCGCGAGUUAACGCAAAUAAGU
rnacentral:rRNA from 1 species